rnacentral:rRNA from 1 species
AACGAACGCUGGCGGCAUGCCUAACACAUGCAAGUCGAACGAGACCUUCGGGUCUAGUGGCGCACGGGUGCGUAACGCGUGGGAACCUGCCCUUAGGUUCGGAAUAACUCCCCGAAAGGGGUGCUAAUACCGGAUAAUGUCUUCGGACCAAAGAUUUAUCGCCUUUGGAUGGGCCCGCAUUGGAUUAGCUAGUUGGUAGGGUAAAAGCCUACUAAGGCGACGAUCCAUAGCUGGUCUGAGAGGAUGAUCAGCCACACUGGGACUGAGACACGGUCCAGACUCCUACGGGAGGCAGCAGUGGGGAAUAUUGGACAAUGGGCGAAAGCCUGAUCCAGCAAUGCCGCGUGAGUGAUGAAGGCCUUAGGGUUGUAAAGCUCUUUUACCCGGGAUGAUAAUGACAGUACCGGGAGAAUAAGCUCCGGCUAACUCCGUG